UGUCAGCUGUACAGGACUCAUACAUUCCUGCUCAACUACAUCUCCUGUCAAAAAAAAACAAUGCACAACUUCUGAUUCCGCAACAUACUUCAGAGAUGACGUUGGAGGAGCUUUCCCCUUAAAAUGUUUCAACUCUGAGAAACAUUCCUAGUAGAACGGGACAAAUCCUGAAGGCCGGGUGUCGGGUUACAGCGUCCUGUAUCUUUUAUAAACUUACUCUUGGGAAGUGUUAAAAAAGAUGGGAGAUUGGAGUUUUUUGGAAAAACUCCUCGAUGAAGUACAGGAACAUUCAACAGUGAUUGGCAAGAUUUGGCUCACUGUGCUCUUCAUAUUUCGGAUUCUGAUCCUGGGCACAGCCGCAGAGUAUGUGUGGGAUGAUGAGCAGUCAGAUUUUGAUUGCAAUACAGCGCAGCCAGGUUGUGAAAAUGUUUGCUAUGACAAGGCUUUUCCAAUCUCACACGUCCGCUACUGGGUGUUGCAAAUCCUCUUUGUGUCAACACCAACACUUAUCUACUUGGGCCAUGUGAUACACAUAUCAAGGCAAGAGGUAAAACUGAAGCAGCGAGAGGAGGCACUGAGGUCCCUGCAGAACAAAGACAGCGAAACUGAAUACAUUUUGAAAGAGAUUGAAAAAAAGAAGCUAAAGUAUGCCAUUGAUGAAAGUGGAAAGGUCGAAAUUAGGGGAGCACUAUUGUGCACCUACACACUCAGCAUUAUCUUCAAGAUGACAUUUGAACUGAGCUUUCUACUAGGUCAGUGGUAUUUAUAUGGUUUUGUGAUGCCUGCCAUUUAUGUCUGUCGAAGAAUUCCCUGUCCACAUCAGGUAGAUUGUUUUAUAUCCCGUCCCACAGAGAAGACCAUCUUCAUUUUAUUUAUGUUUGUGGUAGGUCUGAUAUCACUGCUGCUGAACCUAAUGGAAAUGUUCCACCUCAUUGGCAAGUGUAUUUUUCGUAACAUUCAGAGCAAUUCCAAGAAACAGCUUUAUCCAAAAUUGUCUAAAUUUCCAGGAGGUCCCUACAUUGAAAAGGAGUCAGUACCAGUACAGUACAUGUACCCAUCCAUGGAACAGACUCAUGGACCUUAUCAGAGUUGCAACAAGUCAUCGACUCAGCAGAAUUGGACAAACUAUACUACGGAGCAGAUAUUAGCAGGCCAAAAGGUGAAUUCCACACCACCAGGACCUUUGCCGUCAUUUAACUUCUUGAGUGAUGUCCCUGAUAAAGUAGACCAAAGCUCAGUUCAACAGGAAAGGCCUAUUAGUCCAGUCAGCAGUGUGAGCAGUCGGAGAAGGGAAACUGAUGUUGCAAUCUAAUUUUGAAUGAACAUCAAGUUCUGAAUGAGCAAUAUUUAAGAAUGGUUAUGUUUGACAAAUGAGUUUGCAGGAUUUCAGACAUUGUCUAUGAGCAAAGUUGAAUGAUAUCCAAUAUGGAUUGCAACACAUUUGACAUGAUUUAGGUACUGUUCUAAGAUGGAUGCCACUGUGCCGAAUAAUGGACAAAUACAUGUCUCUGAGUCAAUCACUGUAUGGAGUUAUUACUAAACUUGUAAUUUAUUUACUACUUACCGUGAGAUUUCCUAUUUCUUGGUUAAUAUUUUGUGAUUGAACUAUGCCAUUGGACUGAAUGAAACUUUUUUAGAAGCCUUUCUUUGCUAUUUUGUGACUGAAAUGCUCAAGUGAGUUGGUGCCAGGUCAAUGCCAGUGAUGUUCUGUUACCAUUCAGCAGUAGUGAUCUUCAAUAUCAUGGAAUAGAAUUGAAAGAAGGAAUUGGUAGCAUCAAACCACACUCCUUAAGAAAUUACCACACCUUGCUCAUUAUUUAUAGUUUUAUUUGCCACAUUAUUUCAAUUUGAAAAUACCACCACAGGCCUGAAGACAUCAUUGGAAGUUCUAUUGCGAAGGUAUGUUGUGAGAUGCAAAAGCAAAUUGCACACCAGCACUUUUCACAGCCAAGCAUUGCCCUACCUUUAACUAAUGCUAUUGCAUUGUUAGCCAGCAUUGUAUUCUCUCCAACAGAUACUCCAUGAGCAAAAUAAAGCAAAAUGACGUAAACUCCAAUGGCCAACCUUGAAGAGUGAAGGACGCUGAAACAGGACGUCAAGAAUUAAAAACAGCUGUGACUGUGACCAUAGUUUUGAAAUCUGAGCUCACACUUGAGAAAGUUGCUCAUGAUCUUCUUAGGUAAAUUUAGCUCAUUGCAAUAGUAACAAAGUCCCAGCUGUUUCUCAGAAAUGUGACAACUGAAGGAAAGCACACAAUUAACUCUGUAAAUAAUCAAUUAGAUGAAAUAUUUGUUAAAGUGUCCUGUACAAGGUGAAUUUUGUGUUACUUCUUGAUGCCAUUUGAACUG